AAUGAGCCAAUGAGCCAAUGGAAGAUAUUCAUGGAGCCAACAAAAGAUGGCAUCGCUCUGGAAGAGAAUAUUCUGCCUGAAGGUGGCCCAUGAGCCCAUUGGAGACAAUGGAGGAUUCUACAAGAGGCUGCUAUGGAGCACUGGUGAUGCAGCGGUUCAAUGCCUGUACUGAAGCAACGUGGCUGCCUUGCAAAAUCUUCAAAUAAGAGCAAAGACCAAAUUUAAGACAAACACACCAAACAAUUCGAAUUGAUAAAACAAGGUUGCAGGGAUUUUGAAGCAACGUGGCUGCCUUGCAAGUAGGUUCAUACUGUAAGCUAAGUUAAAACGUUUAACAAUAGAAAAAUACUAAACACUACUAAAGCCUUCCCAUGUAACAGAAAUUUCAG